rnacentral:rRNA from 1 species
UACAGAGGUCUCGAGCGUUGUUCGGAUUUACUGGGCGUAAAGCGCGUGUAGGCGGCUUCGUAAGUUGGAUGUGAAAUCCCACGGCUCAACCGUGGACGUGCAUCCAAAACUACGUCGCUGGAGUCUCGGAGAGGAAGGUGGAAUGCUUGGUGUAGAGGUGAAAUUCGUAGAUAUCAAGCAGAACACCUGCGGCGAAGGCGGCCUUCUGGACGAUGACUGACGCUGAGACGCGAAAGCGUGGGGAGCAAACAGG